AUACGGAGGAUGCGAGCGUUAUCCGGAUUUAUUGGGUUUAAAGGGAGCGUAGGUGGGAUAUUAAGUCAGCUGUGAAAGUUUGGGGCUCAACCUUAAAAUUGCAGUUGAUACUGGUUUCCUUGAGUACGGUAUAGGUGGGCGGAAUUCGUGGUGUAGCGGUGAAAUGCUUAGAUAUCACGAAGAACUCCGAUCGCGAAGGCAGCUCACCGGGCCGGAACUGACACUGAUGCUCGAAAGUGCGGGUAUCAAACAGGAUUAGAUACCCUGGUAGUCCGCACAGUAAACGAUGAAUACUCGCUGUUUGCGAUACACGGUAAGCGGCCAAGCGAAAGCGUUAAGUAUUCCACCUGGGGAGUACGCCGGCAACGGUGAAACUCAAAGGAAUUGGCGGGG
rnacentral:rRNA from 1 species